rnacentral:rRNA from 1 species
GUCAAGUACAAAGAGCAUCGGGUGGAUGCCUUGGCACUGGGAGCCGAAGAAGGACGUGAUAAGCUGCGAUAAGCUGCGGUAAGGAGCACAUAUCCGAUAUACCCGCAGAUUUCCGAAUGGGGGAACCCACAUACGGUAAUGCGUAUGUAUCAUUAAGUGAAUACAUAGCUUAAUGAAGGGAACGGGGUGAACUGAAACAUCUAAGUAGCCCUAGGAAGAGAAAGAAAAAUCGAUUUCCUGAGUAGCGGCGAGCGAAAGGGAAAGAGGCCAAACCAAAUUGUUUACAGUUUGGGGUUGUGGACCACCGACAUUGACGAAGUUAUGCGAGCCGAAUAGGGUUGGAAAGCUCAAGCAGAGAAGGUAAUACUCCUGUAGGCGAAGCAGAAAGCGCAUAGGUGGCACCAGAGUAGGACCGGACACGUGUAACCCGGUCUGAAGCAGGAGGGACCACCCUCCAAGCCUAAAUACUACCCAGUGACCGAUAGCGAAUAGUACCGUGAGGGAAAGGUGAAAAGAACCCCGGGAGGGGAGUGAAAUAGAAUCUGAAACCUGAUGCUUACAAGCAUAGGGAGCGCAAGUGACCUAGUACUUUUUGUAGAACGGGCCAACGAGUUAUGGUAUGUAGCGAGGUUAAGUUGCUGGAGCAACGGAGCCGUAGAGAAAUCGAGUCUGAAUAGGGCGAGAGUUACAUGCUGUAGACCCGAAACCGGGUGACCUAUCCAUGAGCAGGUUGAAGUAACCGUAAAAGGUUAUGGAGGACCGAACCUAUAUCUGUUGAAAAAGGUUAGGAUGACUUGUGGAUAGCGGUGAAAUUCCAAUCGAACUCGGAUAUAGCUGGUUCUCCUCGAAAUAGCUUUAGGGCUAGCCUCAAGGUAAAGAUACACGGGGGUAGAGCACUGACUGUUCGCGGGGCCUUCACCGGUUACCAACAACUAUCAAACUCCGAAUACCGUGCUAUCAUACUUGGGAGUCAGACUAUGAGAGAUAAGUUCCAUGGUCGAAAGGGAAACAGCCCAGAUCAACAGCUAAGGUCCCAAAGAGUAAGUUAAGUGGAAAAGGAUGUGGGAUUGCACAAACAGCUAGGAUGUUGGCUUAGAAGCAGCCAUACAUUUAAAGAGUGCGUAAUAGCUCACUAGUCGAGUGAUCCUGCGCCGAAGAUAAACGGGGCUCAAACUUACCACCGAAGCUUUGGAAUUAGUAUAACUAAUUGGUAGAGGAGCAUUCUAUACAGGUAGAAGGAGGCGCGUAAGCAAAUCUGGACGGUAUAGAAGAGAGAAUGUUGGCAUGAGUAGCGUAAGGCGGGUGAGAAUCCCGUCCGCCGAAAAUCUAAGGUUUCCUGAGGAAGGUUCGUCCUCUCAGGGUAAGUCGGGACCUAAGCCGAGAGCGAACGCUGUAGGCGAUGGACAACAGGUUGAUAUUCCUGUACCACCAAGGAUUGUUUGAAUGAAGUGGGGACACAGAAGGAUAGAUUGAGCACGCCGUUGGUUGAGCGUGUCCAAGCAGUAAGGCUUGAAAGUAGGCAAAUCCGCUUUCUACAAGGCUGAGCUGUGAUGGGGUGGUCGAAUGACCGGUAGCAAUCGAUUUCACGCUGUCAAGAAAAGCCGCUAAUGAGAUCCAAGGUGCCCGUACCGCAAACCGACACAGGUAGAUGAGGAGAGAAUCCUAAGGUGAGCGAGAGAACUAUUGUUAAGGAACUCGGCAAAAUAACCCCGUAACUUCGGGAGAAGGGGUGCCUGCUUCGGCAGGCCGCAGUGAAGAGGUCCAGGCAACUGUUUACCAAAAACACAGGUCUCUGCUAAAGCGAAAGCUGAUGUAUAGGGGCUGACGCCUGCCCGGUGCUGGAAGGUUAAGGGGAAGUGUUAGGGCAACCGAAGCACAGAACUUAAGCCCCAGUAAACGGCGGCCGUAACUAUAACGGUCCUAAGGUAGCGAAAUUCCUUGUCGGGUAAGUUCCGACCCGCACGAAAGGCGUAAUGAUCUGGGCACUGUCUCAACAAUAGACUCGGUGAAAUUGUAGUACCGGUAAAGAUGCCGGUUACCCGCAGCAGGACGGAAAGACCCCGUGGAGCUUCACUGUAGCUUGAUAUUGAUUUUCGGCAUUGCAUGUACAGGAUAGGUGGGAGACGUUGAGUUCAGCACGCCAGUGUUGGAGGAGUCACCGUUGGGAUACCACCCUUGUAAUGUUGGAAAUCUAACCUAGUACCGUGAUCCGGUACAGGGACAGUGUCAGGUGGGCAGUUUGACUGGGGCGGUCGCCUCCUAAAGAGUAAAGAUCGGAAG